UCAUCUGUUGGAUAUGAAAGGAGAAGAUAGCGAACAGUGAUCAAUCUCAAAACUCACAUAAGCAAUACAACAUAUACAGUUGGGCGAACACGGACUUAUGGACACACCAGAGGUGGGAAAAGGUGCCUAUGAGGAUUACUUGUGCGUGGAUUCGGAGUGGCGUUUAACAAGGACUUUUUAGAAUAAGUGAUUUGAGGUCCUCACGUUCAACUACAUCAACAUCACCAGUAAUGAAAUGUCCAGCUGGACUAUAGUUGAAAGAAGAUGAAGAACAAGAACACGUUGGUGGAUUACGUAUAAGAUG